UUAAACAUCAAAAUUUUUAAAAUUUUUUUAUCUACUAUUAAAAUAAAUCAAUAAUAUAUUGUAAAUGAUUAUUUUUAUAAUGAAAUUAAGUUUUAAAUUAAUGAUAUUAUUUUUUAUGUUUUAUUGAUAAUUUUUGUAAAUAUAAUAAAGAUUGUAUUAAAAAUCAUUUGAUAUUCAUAUUUAAUGUGUUUCAAAAUUAAUUUUAUUUCAUAAUAGAAUUCAAAGAUUCAAUAUUAAUUUUUUUAUAAUAAAUUAUUGAUAUGAUUAUUUAAUAUUUAUAAAGAAUACUAUUUUUAAAAUUUUUAAUUAAAAAAUAUUUAUCAUUUAUUUUUUAAAAUAAAGUCAUAUAAUUAUAAUUUAGAUUUUUUUAGAUUAUAAUUUGGUUUUUUACGGAUAUCAAAUCGAUUCAAUCUUAGAUUCAAAUCAUUUUUUAUUCAAGUUACAACGAAUUCAGAUUGUAUUAGUUUUGAAAUUUUUUAGGAAUCAAAUUUUUCAAUCAAAUUUUUUGGAUUUUAGUUUUUUUUUUUUUACUUUUCUUAGUCAUUUAGGUUGAUCCAAGUUUGAUCACAGAUUGGUUCAGGCAGAAAUUUGAGCUUUGCCAACUUUACGUUAAAUAUAAAUUUUAUAAAAUUUUAAUGAAAAUGGAAAAAUAUAUAUAUGAAAGUCAAUCUUUCCGCCAAAAAAGUUAACUAUGACGGCUAUUGAAAGUCGAAAACAAGGGGUGCUCUCCCUUCAGUUUUGCUUGGGGACAAAAGAUAAGAAUUCCUUGUUCUCUUCUUUUCUUUUUCUCUGUUUUUGCCUAAUGGUUAUAGUUUUAGGCUUUAAUUAAUAACAAAGAUUAGAAAGGGAUAAGAGUAAAAAUUUUAUAAAUAUGAUUAAAUUAUAAAGUACAAAAGUGUUUAUAAAGCCUAACCAUUGGACUCAUCCUUGUCUAUUUCCAUUUUCCUACUAAAAAAAAAAAAAUAGAACCCAUUAAACCAAAAUAAAGUUGGGUUGUUAAUUAAGUUUCUAGUCAUCAAUUGAAACUUUAACAUAAUCCAUUAAGAAAAAGUUAAAAUAAUUAAACCUUAAAGAUUGCCUCUAAGUUUAUAUAAAAAAUAAGAAAAAAAUAAAUGUGAUACAACCAUGUGACUAAUGAAAAUUAACUAUCUCCUAUGAGAUUAGGCAAGUAAUAAUUAGGUUUGUGGGUGUGUCCACCUUUGUGUUAGCUGAAAAGGAUGGAUGACUAAUAACAAAAUAACAUCUAGAAGACAGAAAUUCAAAUGACAAAUACAUUAACUUUUGAGGUAAGAGUAUUUUCCAAGAAAAGAAAAUAUAUGAUUAAGACAAUAUGUGCAUUAGGUGCAUGAAUUGUCUUCUAUGCUUUCUCAUGUUCUCCCUCUUUUGGGAAUAUCAAAGUCAUACCCUUGUUUUUAUAGGUUGUAAAGUGAUAUAUUUGAUGAUCAUUAUCAUGAUCAUGAUCAUGAUGCUUAGUUUAUGCAAUAUUCCAAGUUCCAACCUAACCCCAACUUUAUCUCCUUUCACCGGUAACCAUGUAUCUUCUUUCUCUAUAAAAAAAACUUGUUUACAUGAUAUUUUGAUAUUAAUAUUUCAAAAUAGAAAAGCAUUUUAAGUCAUUUUUUAAUUAUUUUUAUGUCACGUCAAGGGGAUAAGAUAAUCAAGGGGAUAAGAUAUAGGGGAUAACGUCUAGGGUUCGAAUCUUUUCUCUUCUUUGAAGUUAAUUAAUUUUUUGUCUAUUUAAGAAAAUAUAUAUAAAUAUAUUUAUUGUAGGAGGAAGUGACUAACAUUUAUUAAUGCUUCUACUAUAUAUGAAAAUUUUAUCCUAGAAAUUAGAGUUAAAAGGAAAUUAUUAGACAAAAAAUUUCCCAAAAAUCCAUUCUAAGGGCUAGAAAUACUUUCAUAACAUGAUUGCGUCACAAGGUAAACUUCAUUUCCGUAUACAAUUUAAUAAUAUACCACCACAUGUAGACAAAAAUCUUAAACCAAGACUUUUGACAGAGGACAUCUAGCCACCUUCAUCCAUUUUUUUUGGGUCCGCUCCUCUCCGGUCUAAUGUAAGGAUAUAAGAGUAGCCGGAUCCCCUCUUUUCAUUCAUGUUAUUAACAAUGUUAAUGCUCCCCUGUGUAUGGCUUUUAUCUUCCUUUAAUUUGGUAUUUAUUAUCUAUUUAUCUUACUUUGACUUAACAUUAAAUCCAUUUAUCCCAAAGCAUCAAAUUAAUUUCACAAAUCUCAUGUCUAAUCAUGCAGCCAAUUGCAUCUUCCUAAUACUGUAUGCAAAUAAAAAUUAUCUUUGAUUAUAAUUGCUCCACUUAAACUUAACUCUGAGUCAAGUCUUAGCAUGUCUAAUUUUAUUCUACUUUAUAUUGGAUUUAUUUAACAAUAUAUUGAUUCAUUAAUUACUUUAUUUAAUUAAUUUAUUAAAAAUUUUAUACGAAAUUUGAUAUUUUGUUAUGAUUGUAACUUCUUUGUAUUAAUAACUUUAUUAAAAAAAUAUUGGGACGGAUGGGGAUGGAGUUGUAAUUCUAUAAAUUAUAUAAAUUGCCAGAGACAAAAAGAAUAACGAAGUCAAGAAAGAAAUUAAAUAAUUAAGAACUUGCAACGGCAUACACAAUUUAUGAUUCUUUUCAUCGGAAUUUAGUUUGAUCAUCAUAUCAAAUAGUGUGAUAAAUGAAUCAGAAAAUAUCAAUUAGGAUUCCAUGCAUUUUUUGCAAUACUAAUACGAAGGAUUAAAUGGUACAAACGAAAAGAUUUUAUAUGAAUUAAUCACGUGAAAAAUGCACACCUAUUGGGUUUGAAUUUUCGAAAGCUUUGCAUACCAUGUGGUAUAUAAAUGAAGGCAACAUUUAAGUAACACGUUUUGCAUCAUCACAUGGGAAAAUAAUAAAGAAAUCAAAACCCUAUCUACUAUUUCUUUGUCACCCCCCUUAUAUAUUAUUGUCAUUUUCUUAUUUAAGGUAAAUAUCAUAUUUAUCACCAUCUUCAAAAAAAAAAAAAAAAAAAACUUCAAUUUCACUUUCAACCAAUCCACUAACCCUCAUUGUUUUUUUUUUUUUUAAUUUUCUUUCCUUAUAUAUAUAAUAAAAAUUUACUUUACAAUUGGUUUAUUCUUUAAAAAGAAAUUUUAAAUUGAACUUCAUUUUUAAGUUUCAAAGAAAAGUUUUCCGAUUUAAAAAAUAAAAUCCCAUUUUUUAAAUAUUUAAAAUUAUAAAAAAUUAAAUUCUGAAAUUAGAAAUUUUGUACUCCACCCACGUAUCAUUACGUUGCAGUCUACAAAAUCUCAUUAUUUUCACUAUAAUGAAAUUUGCGAAAAAAAUUUUAAUAAAUUUACUGUCGUGUUUUUUUCAUGAACAGAGAUUAAUUUGAAGCUUUUGGGGGUUUUUGUUGCUAGUUGUAUCAACAAUUUUGUCAUAAUAAUGCUGAGCUUGGCCUGGACGCCAUUACCGGUGACGUAAAACAAAAGAGAUAUUGUUUUUGUUGUCCUCCUAUCGGUAAAAAAUCAAAGCUACCUUUUUUUUUUUUUUAAUUUCAACUUUGUAAAUUGAACAUAUGUCCAUCUCAAAUCUGCUUUUUAUCGUUCUAAUUGAGAAAUUGCAUGAAAUACUAGUAUUUUUUUUUCUUAUAUUUUUUUCAUUAGAGAAAGUUAACAUAUAGUUAGAAAUAUUUUAAAUCUUUUGAUCGAAUUGAUAUGUCAAGUCGCUCUUGAUUUACGAGUUUACGUUAAUUCAACCAUCUUAUUAGUCUACAUGUUUGACUCCCUUUGAUAUUGACUUGUCACAUACUUUUUCUAGCUUAACUCAAACUUACCAAGUGAUUCUAAUACUAACGCUGACCUCGAGUAGUAAACCUUUAUCAUGUAAGUAUAAAUAACACCAUCUAAGUAUCAUUUCUACAGCAUGUUUUCCUUACUCUCCUAUUAUCUCCUUCAUAUUCUUUACUUUGAUUGAUCUUUGACUUGAACGUCAGAAUAUAAACACUGGAACUACUCCCAACCUUUAUUCUUAGCCAUUUUCUUUUUUUUUUUUUUGUGAUUUCAGAAUUUUAUCCCUUAAAAGCAAUUUGGCACCAAACAUUUGAUAUUCUAAAUAGGGGGUUUUUGCAUUUAGCAAAGCACAAAACAAAAUGCCACCCAAAAAGAAAGCCACUGAGGAAAAAGAAUAUGUUGCCUUAGCUGGAACAAACACCUAACUCAACCAGUCUAAUUUUGACCUACUUACUAUGGUAGGCCCCUAUGAUGGAACAAUUCAAAGUCAUAACCCAACAACUUCAAUCCCUAAAAAAAAUUAUCCAAAACCUUACCCCACCUCAAAGGCACCUAACCUUACCAUUAUAAAAAACCCAUAGGUCCAAAAGUUAUCAAGCUAUAAUGACAUAGAAGCUUUAUCGACAUUAGGCAAUGACAAAGAAACCAUGCCAAUGACCAAAUACUCUACACAUACCUCAAUAUAGGCCACUACCCAAAAGUCCAAACAAGCCACCUCAAAACCCUAACCAAAUAAACACGUAGAAGCUUGAAUGCAGGCCAUGAAGAAAGAGUUAAAUAAUAAAACCUCAACAUUUGAUGAUAAGUUGCGAUUCUUGGAGACCUUGCCUUUCACCGAAAAGAUUUAACAAGUUAUGCCAUUGAAAGUGUUCAAGAUUUCAACCUUAAAGACAUAUGACGGUACAUUUGAUUUUUUGAUUAUUUAGAGUUUUAUUAGACUAAUAUGAUGAUGCAGGGGAUCGAUAAAGCUUUGAUGUGUAAAAGAUUGGCUACUAUACUUAAAGGGGUAGAUCAAUCAUGGUAUUGUAUCCUAGAGCCAAGGUCCAUUACUAUGUGCAAACAGCUCAGCCAUUUUUUCAUGUCCAGAUUUGUCAACAACCAACG
rnacentral:lncRNA from 1 species